UUAAUGCCACGUGGCAAGUGAUGGUCUUCUUUUUUUUCCUUUAAGCGCCAAUACCAUUGUUUUUUUGAAACCGCCUAAACUUUGGAAACCUAAUCAAUUGAAAUCAUUCUUUCAGCCGUUUCUCUUCUCUCUGGCUUCACUCUACAUCCUCUUCAAAUCAAACUUGCAUUCAUGGAUUAUUUUCAAUGAAGAAUCUAACCGAUGUUGGUAAUCAUAUUCAAAGAUUUCUUUUUCUUCUUCAUCUAAUUGUCGCAAGCCCUAAUCGCGAUCUUUUGAUUCGUACAUCAACAGUGUUCACUUGCACCGAUUUGUACGUUGUUCAUUAAUUAUUCAAGCAAUCAACGGCGAUUCAAUCGUUUGAUCAUUGAUUGUUGCGGAUUUUCAAUUGCAUUAUUUAAAUCAAAUGCGAUUUAUAGAUAACGGUGCUCAAGUUCACUUAGGGUUUAUAUAAUCUGCUAAGGUAAUUGAUACGGAUCUUAUCGUCGAACGAAUCUUAGAUUAGUUUUUUUUUAAGUUUAUCUGUUAAAUUAGUAUGAAUUGUUGGUUGUUUUUUAUGUGAAUCUGAAUAGGAGUUAGUUCUAGGGUUAUGUGUGGUUGAGAUUGUUUCAAUUUGAUUGUUUGAUCUGUUUUGUAUUGUAUUGUGUAUGUGUUACUCUGUGUGUGGAAGUUUGGAUUGUGGAUCUACAUGGGCUUCACGUGUCCUUUUUGUUAGGAAAAUGCCCAUAGAUUUGACGGACGCAUCGUUAUCGGGUGAUUGAAUUUCAAUUUUAGCAGCCAUUUCCAUGAUAUUUUUGUUUGGAAUGGAGCACACAUAGUUAUCUGACUAUUAGUACCUCAACCGCUAUCAUAAUUGAUAAAAGUUCUAUUGAGGAGUGAGGACACAGUACGGGCGGACUUUAACAUCAGUUUCCCAUUGUUAUCAUGUGAAUUUACAUUUGUGGAUGUGAGUGAUGUGUUGGGAACAGCAUGCGCUUGUGGUUGUACAUUUUUUUUGCCCCUGGUGCCACUGGAGUAACCUUCUGAUUUUGUAGAUGGAUACUGAAGGUAGCAGUUGUUAAUGCUCCAGCCUUUAGUGACUUUGCUAUAUUGAUCAGAGCUUAUGUAGCCUAAACCAUUAAAGGAAUACAGAAAACAAAGAAUCACAGUUUCAGAAUCCGCCUCAAGGAUUCACUUCCACAGCAAGCACAAGAGAUGGGUAUAAUCAUCAUGAAACUGUCAUUGCGCCAACAUCUCUGAUUUCAAGUCAAGCCGUCUUCCUACCAACAAGCAAGGUGGACAUGAGUCCUGGAAUUCAGUUACGGUCAGCACCGGAGAUGCCUUUUCAAGAUAUGGCACCAGGUGUUGUGUAUCAUUAUCAUUCUAAAAGCCCAGAAAAAUAAGCUUUCGUAAAAGUCUUAUUCCAUCAAGCUCUCCACUCCACAAAAGAAUGUCAUUUGAAAGUCCAACAAGUCGACCCGACAACAAUGCCCAAACUAUAGGGACUACAGUCCACCCUUUGCCUCUCCCUCCAGGAGCUUCUAGACUUCCACCAUCUUCCCCACCACAAAUUCGCAACAGAUCUGAUGUGGUGGCUGAGACACAAAAACAAAGUUGAUGGAAAAAGGGAAAGUUUAUAGGUCUUCGAACAUUUGGAAGCAUUUAUGUUGGAUCUGGAUCUGACAAGUAUUUAAAUACCAUAGCCCGGUGGGGUAAGCUUCAUACUUCUUUUGUUGUAGACUUAUCCCAUUUGCUUGACCUUCAUAAAUACGUGCUGGGAUCCGUCAAGAAGAAGAAAGUUUUAUAUGGGAUCUUAUUAGUUACCAUGUGGAGUUUGUGGAAGAUGCGGAACAAGGUCUUUAACCAAGGGUCGAUUUGCAUCACGAGUAUCUUGCAUGAUAAUAAGAGCAUGAGCUUCUUGUGGAUUUGACAUUGGACUUAAUUUAAUUCCCUGGGAUUAGUGGAGGUGCUUCAGGGUCGAUAGUUAUGUAUAGUUGUUACUUCUGCUGUUGUUUUUUUUUGGUGGGGUGGGCCUUUGGCUUUGUUGGUAUUUUAUUUAUAUUGGUGUACUUUGGCUAGCUGCUUGCUGAUUUUUAUUUAAUAAUAUUCUCUGUUUGUUGGGCUUUUCAAAGGUAAAUCCUAAUUUUAAUCAAAACAUUCUUAAUUUUAGGAUGAUAUAUUGAUAUAAAUAGUUUGAAACAUACCUAUAGCUCAAGAUAAACUUAUAUUUAUAUUUAUAUUCAGUAAUGUAACUCUUUGUAUAUUAUCAUUAUUCUAUUCUAAGUUAGAGUAACAUCAUACAUUUUUUAGUAUGGUUUCCAUAUUUCUUUCCUAAUCUACUGGUCUUAGAAAUUUCAAUUAGCAACAAUAGCCCAAUAGAGCAAUGCCAUGAUGUCUAUAUGCAUAUGUAGGGAUGAGUAAAUGUACUGGGUAUCGGUUUGGAACCGGUGCCGAAUUUCCCAAACCGAAAUAUUUUCGGUACCGAUUUAGUGCUGACAUUUGAGGUUUUCAGUACAUGUAUGGUAUGUUAACGGUUUUACCUUCAAAUACUGAUCCGUACAGGUACUGAACCAUAUAUUUAGUACAUGUAUGGUAUGAUACACCAUGAGUUUUCAUAUAUUCAGGCGCAAAAAAUAGUUGUAUGUUGUGAUUUAGGUUCGACAUGCUUCAUGAGUGCUUUAUGUUACCUUUUCAUUCUAAAGUUUUGUUUGGUGCUUUAAUAUUUUGGUCCAGAAGGUAUCUAUCUGGCGACCCUUAAACGUGAAGCCUAAGUUGGGAAAGGCCUAGAACAAAAAUGAUGAUCUACAUGGGCUUCAAUGCCAGUAGAUAUUAUAUUUUUGUGUUAAGCCACCCGCGAAACAUCGUUCGAUCAUUCAUUCCAUGCAACUGUUCUCUAAAAUGAUCCAUAACAUUUUUUUGAAGUCAUUUAAUGUUUAUUUUUUUUUGUUUUUUAAUCAAUUUUGUUAACGUAAUACAAAACAUGUAUACUCAUACACACACUUAAAUAUUAACCUAAAAUUCUACAUAAAUAAACAGUACGUUGACUUAUAAUUCGCUAUCCAUUAUCUUCCAUAAACACAAUAUUACACAAAUUUGCAUCAUAAUGUAUCUCGAUAUAUUAAAUUAUUUGUCUCAUUGUAGUUUACUAAUUUAUUAUUACUUGAACGGUUAUUUAAUUCAAACGAUUAGUUCAAUAAAUUAAACUUAUUCAUUUGUGUUUUAGUCCACCCGCGAAC